CAAGAGAUGUGGGACUAAAACUCAACCUGCUUUUUGUUGGCACCGCCAAUAGACCUACGGGCGCUACGGCAUAUCAUGACUCGAUCUGCUGCGGCGCCCGCGCUCUCCCUGGUUUAUCCUUCUCUCGCUUCCACUCCUCUGCCCUCCAAAGGCAAAGGGCUCUUCAGAGCAUCUUCCCUCCCCUCGCCCAAGCCACGGACCAAACGCCCCAAUUAUCUCCGCCUCAAGAUUCCCAAUCCCCAGCCACUCCAAACCCCUCCUCCACCGCCGCUGCAGACCCAUGAGCCCUGGGUUGUGGUUCUCGAAGAGGAGGUUAACGCUGUCGAACAUGUGGUACAGGAAGUCGACGCCGCAGAGGUGGUCGAGGAUGCGCCGGUGGCGACGGUGGGGAUCGACCCCGCUGCCGACCUUCAGGUGCUCCCUCGAGAAGCCUUUGCACAACACUUCGGUAUAGCGCUACGCUUCGCGGCGCUUGUAGCGGUACAGACUAUGGUUGCGGUCUGGUUUUUGGGCGGCGUCGGAGGCGAGGAGGGGAACGGCUCUGGCAAGCGGAAAGUCGAGGAAGGCAGGGUUGGGAGUGCAGCGAGCCAAGUAGCGGAGUUUCAGAAGAUCCUGGAGAUUAGAGCGAUGGCUAAGGAGGCGAGGGAGACUGAAAGGAGGGAGCUUUCCGAAGACAGUGGAGUCCAGGGCGAGUUAAGCAAAAAGAUUAGUAGUUUGAGAAAGAGAUCUCCGAAGGUCAUCUUGGACGAGAAUGGAUUUUCUGUGUCUCUGCCGCUGCCCUCCAAGAAUGUGGAUGAGGAAAUGGAUGGAAAGAAGCUUAAAUCCAAGCAGAACACGGAUAUAAAAAAAUUGAACUACAAGAGAAAGGGUGGUUUUUUGAAAUCCAUAAGGAAAUCUGAAAAUAUUCCGAAAGGAUUUGGUGGAUCGGGAAAAAAGCAAGAGCCUGGCAAAGGAAGCAACGGUGGUGUUCACCAGAUUGCUGAAGAAGCUGCAUGGCAUCAUGAACAAGGCAACACCCAUGCUUCUGAGAUGGCCCAAAGCCUGCAUGAUAUCAUGGAUGAUGUGGCUGUCUCAGGUCAAGAGGCAGUUAGACAAGUUAGUAAAGGAACCAAUUCCACCAAUGACAUUGCUGAGACCUUCCGAAAGAAUAAGAAAAGUUCCAAAGAAAUUACUAGAAUAAGUUCCUUGGAGACUGCAAAAGUUGAUAAACCAAGGUGCAAUUUACAUGCUGAAAGGAUUGAUGACAGAUCAUUUGUCAAUAAAGACAAACAAAACCAGUUGAAUUUUUUAAACAAUCCUUGGUGGCUAAAACUGCCGUAUGUUCUAGGUAUUCUUCUUCGGAGAGGAUCUAAUGGUAGGGGCCCUGAAGGGCUUUAUUCUUUGGAGGCAAAUCCCUCAUCAGAUCUGGGAGAUGUUAGUGCUGAUGUGGUUCCACUGACAAUCCAACAAAGAGUCAAUUUGUAUUAUCCAUAUCCAGUGAAGAUCUAAAUAGACAAAAAGUCCAUUGUGUGCUACUAAAUGCUCCCCUUCAAGGAAAAUGAUACUUGAGAGAUUUCUUCCUGAGGAACUUACAGAGGUACUAAAUUUGGAUGCUUUAAAGCUACUUGUGUUGAGAAAGGGACAGAUUCGUCUAUAUGCUGGCCUGCCUCUCACCGAAGUUGAGACCGAGAUACGCUCUUUAUUGAACUAAAGAAACUACAAUGUACUCUUGCUUUACAUAUUGAGAGGUCCAUUAAAGAUCAAAAAUUUUGGAGGAAAAGACAAGCCAGCCGAAUUAUUAGAACUUGACAGGAUUUCAGUCAUUUGCUUAAAGAUAUCUAAGUUUUACUCACGUAGGCCAAGGAUUCUGUAUUGUAGAAGAACAUCACAAAACCUCCUCUCUUCUGUUCGAGGCUUCACUUUGGUUUGUUAACGAAUUCUUUAGGUGUAAAUUGUGUGUGGAAGAUCUAUAAACAGGGGAAAAAAAUUUUGCUUCCAUAAUAUAAUGCAAUAAUUUUGUAUUCUAACAUCUGCAAACUGUUGAGAAUGAGAGCUUUGAUGUAACACUACAAUUGUUAUCACGUGAUUUUAUGAUCACAGGUUUGAGUUGUGAAAACAAUUUCUUGUAAGGCAAUGUAGUUCAAUC